UUACACAUGCAAGUCGAACGGCAGCACGGGGGCAACCCUGGUGGCGAGUGGCGAACGGGUGAGUAAUACAUCGGAACGUGCCCAGUCGUGGGGGAUAACGUAGCGAAAGCUACGCUAAUACCGCAUACGAUCUAAGGAUGAAAGCGGGGGACCGUAAGGCCUCGCGCGAUUGGAGCGGCCGAUGGCAGAUUAGGUAGUUGGUGGGGUAAAGGCUCACCAAGCCUGCGAUCUGUAGCUGGUCUGAGAGGACGACCAGCCACACUGGGACUGAGACACGGCCCAGACUCCUACGGGAGGCAGCAGUGGGGAAUUUUGGACAAUGGGCGCAAGCCUGAUCCAGCCAUUCCGCGUGCAGGAUGAAGGCCUUCGGGUUGUAAACUGCUUUUGUACGGAACGAAACGGUUCUCUCUAAUACAGGGGGCUAAUGACGGUACCGUAAGAAUAAGCCACGGCUAAUUCCGUGCCAGCAGCCGCGGUAAUACGGGAGUGGCAAGCGUUAUCCGGAAUUAUUGGGCGUAAAGCGUCCGCAGGCGGCCUUGAAAGUCUGUCGUUAAAGCGUGGAGCUUAACUCCAUUUAAGCGAUGGAAACUACAAGGCUAGAGUGUGGUAGGGGCAGAGGGAAUUCCCGGUGUAGCGGUGAAAUGCGUAGAUAUCGGGAAGAACACCAGUGGCGAAGGCGCUCUGCUGGGCCAUAACUGACGCUCAUGGACGAAAGCCAGGGGAGCGAAAGGGAUUAGAUACCCCUGUAGUCCUGGCCGUAAACGAUGAGCACUAGGUGUCGGGGGAAUCGACCCCCUCGGUGUCGUAGCCAACGCGUUAAGUGUUCCGCCUGGGGAGUACGCACGCAAGUGUGAAACUCAAAGGAAUUGACGG
rnacentral:rRNA from 1 species